GAAUCAAAUAAAUUUAUUUCGCGAUCUUAUUUUCCUUAAAAAUAGUUUACUUUUCUUAUUCGGUCAGAAUUUUUAUACGAAAUUUCAAUUCGCUAACAGUUCUAACAGACGCCAUCUUGGUAGGCCAAAAUUGGCUUCAACUUUUUUUACGAAAAACAAUAGAAUACGCUAUCCAGUUAUUAUUUUGAGAUCAGUGACCUCUGUGUUUUAUACAAAAUCUCAAAAACAUUGUUGCAUUUCUGAAUUAAAAUUAUAAACAUGUGGUCCACAACAGUCCGGAAAACUUUUGGGACGAUAAAAAAGUAUUUUAUAAAAGAGUAUUUUAUCGGCCUAAUGUUAACUUCAAAAUUAUGACUUAUAAAGGUCGCCAAUUAGCUGAAUCAGAAAUUAAGAACUUCAUAAAUGAGCUAGAAAACAGUAAAAAUGACGAUUACGAAGAUGGUUAGUGGCAUUAAUGUCUAUCAAAAGCAAAGUUACAAAAUGUCUAGAUUUUGAAAAGAUUCUGAAUCAAUUUAUGUAUGAAAAAUCAAGGAAAAAAAUAUACUAAUUUGGAUGCAUCAAUUGCAAGUUUCCAAAUACAUGCAAAGUAAAAUUGUUGGCGACAUAGCUCAUGUAUUAAAGUCUUCUGUCACAGUUGACUCAGCAAGAAUGAAGACAUCAAUACACUUUUGCAUUAUGGAAUACACAAGUUGGCAGUUCCUCGCCCCACUGCCACCCAAAUACAGGAAAGUAUGCAUGCAUACACAAUUCUCAAAAUUAGAGGGAGUAAUAAAUUUUCGACCUUAAACUGCUUUAGGUUGGCAUCAGAUUACAAUCGGCAAACAUUUUUACAAAGGCUUUACUAUAAAAGAUAAUAUAUAUAUAUAUAU